rnacentral:rRNA from 1 species
GGUACGAUGCGCCUGGUCCACGGUCGAAAGAUCGCGCGUAUUGGAGCGUAUCUGCCAUCCUUCUAGUUAACUGGCUGUACUUAACUGUGUGGUCAGCGAUCUAGAUCAUUUACUUUGAAAAAAUUAGAGUGUUUAAAGCAGGCUCGCGCAUUGAAUACAUUAGCAUGGAAUAAUAAUUUAGGACUUUGCUCUUAUUUUAUUGGUUUCUAGGGGUAAAGUA